rnacentral:rRNA from 1 species
AGAGUUUGAUCCUGGCUCAGGACGAACGCUGGCGGCGUGCUUAACACAUGCAAGUCGAACGAGAAUCAAUGGAUAGAGGAUUCGUCCAAUUGAAGUUGAGGAAAGUGGCGGACGGGUGAGUAACGCGUGAGGAACCUGCCUUGGAGAGGGGGACAACAGCUGGAAACGGCUGCUAAUACCGCAUAAUGCAUUUGAAUCGCAUGGUUUGAAUGCCAAAGAUUUAUCGCUCUGAGAUGGCCUCGCGUCUGAUUAGCUAGUAGGCGGGGUAACGGCCCACCUAGGCGACGAUCAGUAGCCGGACUGAGAGGUUGAACGGCCACAUUGGGACUGAGAUACGGCCCAGACUCCUACGGGAGGCAGCAGUGGGGAAUAUUGGGCAAUGGGCGCAAGCCUGACCCAGCAACGCCGCGUGAAGGAAGAAGGCUUUCGGGUUGUAAACUUCUUUUAAGGGGGAAGAGCAGAAGACGGUACCCCUAGAAUAAGCCACGGCUAACUCCGUGCCAGCAGCCGCGGUAAUACGGGGGAUACGAGCGUUAUCCGGAUUUAUUGGGUUUAAAGGGUGCGCAGGCGGACCGUUAAGUCAGGGGUGAAAAGUUGGGGCUCAACUCCAAUCGUGCCUUUGAUACUGGCGGACUAGAGUGCAGGGGACGUGACUGGAAUGUGAUGUGUAGCGGUGAAAUGCUUAGAUAUGUCACAGAACGCCGAUCGUGAAGACAGGUCACGAAUCUGCAACUGACGCUCAUGCACGAAAGCGUGGGGAUCAAACAGGAUUAGAUACCCUGGUAGUCCACGCAGUAAACGAUGAAUACUAGGUGUGGGGGGACUGACCCCCUCCGUGCCGCAGUUAACACAAUAAGUAUUCCACCUGGGGAGUACGGCCGCAAGGUUGAAACUCAAAGGAAUUGACGGGGGCCCGCACAAGCAGUGGAUUAUGUGGUUUAAUUCGAAGCAACGCGAAGAACCUUACCAGGGCUUGACAUCCAACUAACGAAGCAGAGAUGCAUUAGGUGCCCUUCGGGGAAAGUUGAGACAGGUGGUGCAUGGUUGUCGUCAGCUCGUGUCGUGAGAUGUUGGGUUAAGUCCCGCAACGAGCGCAACCCCUAUUGUUAGUUGCUACGCAAGAGCACUCUAGCGAGACUGCCGUUGACAAAACGGAGGAAGGUGGGGACGACGUCAAAUCAUCAUGCCCCUUAUGUCCUGGGCUACACACGUAAUACAAUGGCGUCCAACAAAGGGAAGCAAAGCCGCGAGGCAGAGCAAAUCCCCAAAAGACGUCUCAGUUCGGAUUGCAGGCUGCAACUCGCCUGUAUGAAGUCGGAAUUGCUAGUAAUCGUGGAUCAGCAUGCCACGGUGAAUACGUUCCCGGGCCUUGUACUCACCGCCCGUCA